GAGCGGACAGAUGGGAGCUUGCUCCCUGAUGUUAGCGGCGGACGGGUGAGUACACGUGGGUAACCUGCCUGUAAGACUGGGAUAACUCCGGGAAACCGGGGCUAAUACCGGAUGGUUGUUUGAACCGCAUGGUUCAAACAUAAAAGGUGGCUUCGGCUACCACUUACAGAUGGACCCGCGGCGCAUUAGCUAGUUGGUGAGGUAACGGCUCACCAAGGCAACGAUGCGUAGCCGACCUGAGAGGGUGAUCGGCCACACUGGGACUGAGACACGGCCCAGACUCCUACGGGAGGCAGCAGUAGGGAAUCUUCCGCAAUGGACGAAAGUCUGACGGAGCAACGCCGCGUGAGUGAUGAAGGUUUUCGGAUCGUAAAGCUCUGUUGUUAGGGAAGAACAAGUACCGUUCGAAUAGGGCGGUACCUUGACGGUACCUAACCAGAAAGCCACGGCUAACUACGUGCCAGCAGCCGCGGUAAUACGUAGGUGGCAAGCGUUGUCCGGAAUUAUUGGGCGUAAAGGGCUCGCAGGCGGUUUCUUAAGUGUGAUGUGAAGCCCCCGGCUCAACCGGGGAGGGUCAUUGAGGACUGGGAACUGAG
rnacentral:rRNA from 1 species